AUUGAACGCUGGCGGCAUGCCUUACACAUGCCAGUCGAACGGCAGCAUGAUCUAGCUUGCUAGAUUGAUGGCGAGUGGCGAACGGGUGAGUAAUACAUCGGAACGUGCCCUGUAGUGGGGGAUAACUAGUCGAAAGAUUAGCUAAUACCGCAUACGACCUGAGGGUGAAAGUGGGGGACCGCAAGGCCUCAUGCUAUAGGAGCGUCCGAUGUCUGAUUAGCUAGUUGGUGAGGUAAAGGCUCACCAAGGCGACGAUCAGUAGCUGGUCUGAGAGGACGAUCAGCCAAACUGGAACUGAGACACGGCCCAGACUCCUACGGGAGGCAGCAGUGGGGAAUUUUGGACAAUGGGCGAAAGCCUGAUCCAGCAAUGCCGCGUGUGUGAAGAAGGCCUUCGGGUUGUAAAGCACUUUUGUCCGGAAAGAAAUGGCUCUGGUUAAUACCUGGGGUCGAUGACGGUACCGGAAGAAUAAGGACCGGCUAACUACGUG
rnacentral:rRNA from 1 species